ACCCUUGACCACGGUAUAGUCAGCGACUGGGGUGAAGUCGUAACAAGGUAGCCGUAGGGGAACCUGCGGCUGGAUUACCUCCUUUCUAAGGAUGAAUGAAAGUAAAAUUUCAUUCUAAAUAAUAUACAUCGGUAAUGUUGACCGUCCUCAUUUCUCUUCUUAAAGUAGUGUUUCUCUUGCAUAGGGGCCGGUAGCUCAGUUGGUUAGAGCACACCCUUGAUAAGGGUGGGGUCGAAAGUUCGAGUCUUUCUCGGCCCACCAAUAUAAGAUCAUGGGGGAUUAGCUCAGCUGGGAGAGCGCCUGAUUUGCAUUCAGGAGGUCAGCGGUUCGAUCCCGCUAUCCUCCACCAAAAACACUUAGUUAUAAAAACCGUAAAUAAAUUUAAUAAUUAAUAUCAAUAUCUAUAUCCGAACAUUAGUAAUGUUAUUAGCUAAUGUUCAAAAAUAAAAAUUUGAUUCAACACAGAAUUUUUUUCUGUGCAUAAAUCAAGCGUUUAAGGGCGUGUAGUGGAUGCCUUGGCACUGAAAGCCGAUGAAGGACGUGAUAUACUGCGAUAAGUUUCGGGGAGCUGUAUGUAAGUUUUGAUCCGAAAAUUU
rnacentral:misc_RNA from 1 species